UUUUUAAAUUUGUAACUGUAAAGGUAAUAAUUACAUUACAAUGAAUACUCACAAACUUCAAAUGCUCCGAGUGCUUGAUGUCCAUUGUUUGUCCAGUGUAUUCAUGGCUUUUCUUGGUGUAGGACCUUAUCAUAGUUCCUAUAUGCACCCCUAAAUGAUUUUGUAGCACAAAGCUGUCUGGUUAUGUUAGCUUUUGAUUGAAUUAUAAAGUAGGACCUGGAUAACUGAGUCACGGUGAAUAAAGGCUUAUGGUUUUUACUGGUACAUUUGUCCUCAUAUAAUGGGAGCUUAUUACCUCCAUUUAAUUUUUAGUUUUAUUAUAAAGCUUCUAUUUGUAUUUGUAAAUCAGAAUUUAUUUUGUUGAAUGAAGGGGAAAAAACCUUGCUGUAUUUUUCAUUAUCUUACAACAUUGCGUGGAUAAAAAAAAAAACCCUCUAAAAAUUCUUAAUUUGUAGUAUGAUGGUUAUCAAUCACAUUUCUCUCUCAUUGGUUCAUUAUCUAAGCAGAUUAGUGGCUAAUGUGGCAGCAUGCAAAGGCUGCUUAGUGCAGGAUUGAAUUUUUUUUUCCUCUAAUUUAGGAAAGUGGAAUUAAACAGCAGAGAUGAGUGAGGAGAAAGUAGGUUUAAGACUGUUCUUUCCAAAAGUUUGGUUCAUUUAGGAAAUGGAGAUGGAGGUGAUGGCUUUAUGUGGUGAAGUUUUCCCUAGCUUAGAUAAUGAGGACCUUGGGAUAUGAAGCUCAUUAGCUUAAUGCUGAUGCUCUCUAAAGUGACUUGAUAAUGAUUCAUUUGAAGUUUAAGAAAAAAGAUUCAUUUGAAGUU
rnacentral:misc_RNA from 1 species